rnacentral:tRNA from 1 species
GGCCCAGUAGCUCAGGUGGUUAGAGCAGACGACUCAUAAUCGUUUGGUCAUAGGUUCGAUUCCUAUUUGGGCCACCA